GUCUAUGGCCAUAUCUCCCUGAACAUACCUGAUCUUGGAAGCUAAGCAGGGCCAGGCCUGGUUAUUACUUGGAUGGGAGACUCCCUCAGAGCCCAUAGAAGGAAUGAACC
rnacentral:rRNA from 1 species